rnacentral:rRNA from 1 species
CCUACGGGGGGCAGCAGUCGAGAAUCUUUCACAAUGGAGGAAACCCUGAUGCUGCGACGCCGCGUGGGGGAAUGAAGCUCUUCGGAUUGUAAACCGCUUUCAUGUGGGAGCAAAUUAAAAAGAUAGUACCACAAGAGGAAGAGACGGCUAACUCUGUGCCAGCAGCCGCGGUAAUACAGAGGUCUCAAGCGUUGUUCGGAAUCAGUGGGCGUAAAGCGUGCGUAGGCUGUUUCGUAAGUCGGGUGUGAAAGGCGCGGGCUCAACCCGCGGACGGCACAUGAUACUGGGAGACUAGAGAAAUGGCGGGGGAACCGGAAUGCAUGGUGUAGCAGUGAAAUGCGUAGAUAUC